GAUGAACGCUGGCGGCGUGCCUAAUACAUGCAAGUCGAGCGAACAGACGAGGAGCUUGCUCCUCUGACGUUAGCGGCGGACGGGUGAGUAACACGUGGAUAACCUACCUAUAAGACUGGGAUAACUUCGGGAAACCGGAGCUAAUACCGGAUAAUAUAUUUAACCGCAUGGUUCCAUAGUGAAAGACGGUUUUGCUGUCACUUAUAGAUGGAUCCGCGCCGCAUUAGCUAGUUGGUAAGGUAACGGCUUACCAAGGCAACGAUGCGUAGCCGACCUGAGAGGGUGAACGGCCACACUGGAACUGAGACACGGUCCAGACUCCUACGGGAGGCAGCAGUAGGGAAUCUUCCGCAAUGGGCGAAAGCCUGACGGAGCAACGCCGCGUGAGUGAUGAAGGUCUUCGGAUCGUAAAACUCUGUUAUUAGGGAAGAACAAAUGUGUAAGUAACUAUGCACGUCUUGACGGUACCUAAUCAGAAAGCCACGGCUAACUACGUG
rnacentral:rRNA from 1 species